rnacentral:rRNA from 1 species
AUUGAACGCUGGCGGCAGGCCUAACACAUGCAAGUCGAACGAGUGGCGGACGGGUGAGUAAUGUCUGGGGAACAGUCCGCGGGAGGGGGAUAACAACUGGAAACGGUAGAUAAUACCGCAUACCAUCGGAUGUGCCCCGAUGGGAUGAGCUAGUGGGUGGGGUAACGGCUCACCUAGGCGACGAUCCCUAGCUGGUCUGAGAGGAUGACCAGCCACACUGGAACUGAGACACGGUCCAGACUCCUACGGGAGGCAGCAGUGGGGAAUAUUGCACAAUGGGCGCAAGCCUGAUGCAGCCAUGCCGCGUGUAUGAAGAAGGCCUUCGGGUUGUAAAGUACUUUCAGCGAGGAGGCGUUACUCGCAGAAGAAGCACCGGCUAACUCCGUGCCAGCAGCCGCGGUAAUUC